GACAGAGGGUGCAAACGUUGUUCGGAAUUACUGGGCGUAAAGCGCGUGUAGGCUGCCCUGCAAGUCAGGUGUGAAAGCCCUGGGCUCAACCUAGGAAGUGCACUUGAAACUGCGGGGAUCGAGGGCUGGAGAGGGAAGCGGAAUUCUCGGUGUAGAGGUGAAAUUCGUAGAUAUCGUCAAGAACACCGAUAGCGAAGGCAGCUUACUAGGCUGUAACUGACGCUGAGGCACGAAAGUGUGGGGAUCAAACAGG
rnacentral:rRNA from 1 species